rnacentral:rRNA from 1 species
AUUGAACGCUGGCGGAAUGCUUUACACAUGCAAGUCGAACGGUAGAGGGGGGCAACCCCUUGAGAGUGGCGAACGGGUGAGUAAUAUAUCGGAACGUGCCCAGUCGUGGGGAUAACGUAGCGAAAGUUACGCUAAUACCGCAUACGAUCUAAGGAUGAAAGCGGGGGAUCGCAAGACCUCGCGCGAUUGGAGCGGCCGAUAUCAGAUUAGGUAGUUGGUGGGGUAAAGGCUCACCAAGCCAACGAUCUGUAGCUGGUCUGAGAGGACGACCAGCCACACUGGAACUGAGACACGGUCCAGACUCCUACGGGAGGCAGCAGUGGGGAAUAUUGGACAA